AGAUUAUAAGAGACCUUAAAAGAUCCGUUUCCAGACACGCUGUUAUAUCACUCCAACCCUAAAUGCUCGCUUUAUAAGGCAGUUGAUGUGAUCCGGUCAGGUGCUGUGAAAUCCGUCUGCUGAGUUGUUGUUGGACCUGGGUGAAAGCUAGAGGAGAGAGUUGUGACUCCGUGUCAAGAGAUCUUCUGGCAGCCAAAGAACAGAGCGAAAAUUUCUGCAUCCCAGACAAGUCACUGUGGAAAUCACACUUGAGAAAAGCAGCUCUUGCUCUGAGUAUUUUACUUUCCAACCUCAGUAGGGAAGAUGGAAGAGUGAUGAAUGUGCACUGAUCCUCCAGCAGGAAACCCUUCAUUUCUAAGCUAGAAACUCUAAAGGUCAGAGGACCAACUGCACAGCCCUUCAGUUGUAUUUACUGCACCCAGCACCCUGCCACAGGCACAGGGAGUGUGUUCUUCUGAGUGAUGGAGAAACAUCACCCCGGUGAAGGCAGAGAGCAGGAAUGGUAAGGAAUAAAAGGCCUCUUCCUUUAAACUGGUUUUAAUCUUUUUAUGGUUGGAAAUGGAAGAUCAGUAAUUAAAGCAUCACUGAAGGAGAUCAGAAAGCUUUUGAAGUUAAUAAAACCUGUAACACACACCGAGGAUGAUUAUAUGUAAAGCAUACGCAGGCUGAAGUCGCUGGCAGGAUCUGGAACCCAUGCUUUCCCCUACAAAUGUAUGGAGUUCCUCUGCUGAAAUUCCUUGGACCACACCAGAAAUGACCCAGGUUUGCCCUGGGCUGUCCCACCAGGUGACACACAUGAUUCCCAGCUCAACCACUCACCUGGGCUGUGUGUCCUCUUCUUCUGCUUUGGCCCAGUGGUUUGCUCAGCUGUUCUCUAACGAUGGUACCAUCAGUGCAGGAGUUGCCUACAGCAGCUCAAGCAUCUCAAGCUGAGUUAAUCAACAACACUGAAAGAAAUAAAUAAAUUCUCCCUUUGCAAUGCUUUAGCAUGUAGCACAGCUCUGGGCUCUCAGCAAUUUAGCAAAGACAUUUCUUUACCAAUUUAAAUAACUUCUGGACAGAAUUAAUGCUCUUUUCUCAUCUCUAGAGUUGACAUUUGGGAGAGGAGAGAGAGAGAUGUUCCACCUCUCCCCUGGUCCUCCCUGGGAGCCAAUGAGAGCUGAGACUUUAUCUGCACUGAAGUGAUGGUAGGGAGAGGGCCAGGAGCAGCCGCUGUGUCUGGCUGUGCUCAGUUGGGGGGAGGGUGGAAAAAAGAGGAGACUUUAGGCCUUGACUGCCAUUUAUUUCAGCAUUGAAAAGAAGAAAAUUCUAAUGCUGAAACAACGAUUAAAACAAGUACUAAGCCAUGGCAGAAGACUGCCUGGGAGGUAGGGCUUUUUGUAUGAACUCAGCAGAUCAUUUAUUUAUUUAUCUAUUUAUGCUGCAAAAGAACUUUCUUUAAAGGUCACUUUUUUUUUUCUAACCUCUGUGCUGGGAAAAAUGCUUUUAAGUUUCAUCUGCUUUGUGUGUAUGUGCAU